GACAGAGGGUGCAAACGUUGUUCGGAAUUACUGGGCGUAAAGCGUGUGUAGGUGGCCUCAUAAGUCAGGUGUGAAAGCCCCGGGCUCAACCCGGGAAGUGCACUUGAUACUGCGAGGCUUGAGUACUGGAGAGGUUGGUGGAAUUCCCGGUGUAGCGGUGAAAUGCGCAGAUAUCGGGAAGAACACCCGUGGCGAAGGCGGCUCUCUGGGACGGUACUGACGCUGAGACGCGAAAGCGUGGGGAGCGAACAGG
rnacentral:rRNA from 1 species